rnacentral:rRNA from 1 species
CCUACGGGAGGCAGCAGUGGGGGAUAUUGCACAAUGGGGGGAACCCUGAUGCAGCGACGCCGCGUGGGUGAAGGAGCGUUUCGGCGCGUAAAGCCCUAUCGGCAGGGAAGAAGGAGGACGGUACCUGACUAAGAAGCCCCGGCUAACUACGUGCCAGCAGCCGCGGGAAGACGUAGGGGGCAAGCGUUAUCCGGAUUUACUGGGUGUAAAGGGGGCGCAGACGGCAGCGCAAGCCAGGAGUGAAAGCCCGGGGCCCAACCCCGGGACUGCUCUUGGAACUGCGCGGCUGGAGUGCAGGAGGGGCAGGCGGAAUUCCUGGUGUAGCGGUGAAAUGCGUAGAUAUCAGGAGGAACACCGGUGGCGAAGGCGGACUGCUGGACUGCGACUGACGUUGAGGCCCGAAAGCGUGGGGAGCAAACAGGAUUAGAUACCCCUGUAGUC